UAGAAAUGAGUCAUUAGUUCAUGAACUCAGAGAAGCUUUGGCUGAUGUUGAAGAAAAACCUGAGAUUAUUCCUGGGGAGCAUGGAGUUGUUGAGGUUGCUCGCCAUCCAGAUGCUGUCAGUGUAGUUACGGGAAUAGUAGGUUGUGCAGGCUUAAAGCCUACGGUGGCUGCAAUAGAAGCUGGAAAAGACAUAUGCUUGGCCAAUAAAGAGACAUUAAUUGCUGGAGGGCCCUUUGUCCUUCCUCUUGCUCACAAAUAUAAUGUGAAAAUUCUCCCGGCUGAUUCAGAACAUUCUGCUAUAUUUCAGUGUAUUCAAGGCCUGCCAGAUGGUGCACUGCGGCGUAUUAUUUUAACUGCUUCAGGUGGAGCUUUCAGGGAUUGGCCUGUUGAUAAAUUGAAAGAAGUUAAAGUAGCUGAUGCUUUAAAGCAUCCUAACUGGAAUAUGGGGAAAAAGAUUACAGUGGACUCUGCUACCCUUUUCAAUAAGGGUUUAGAAGUCAUUGAAGCCCAUUAUUUGUUUGGAGCUGAGUAUGAUAAUAUUGA
rnacentral:misc_RNA from 1 species